ensembl:lncRNA
UUUGACACAAAGCUGGUGUGACAGGCUCCAAGUGAGACAGCCAACGAGUGGUAGAUUUCGGAGAGCAGAAAGCAGGAAUCCGACCUCCCGGUUCCUUGUUCUAUCAAACAAACUGUCUCCCCCCCCCCUCUGAGCCAAAGGUGGCUGCAGAAGGAAGAGAAAAGCAGCUCAUGCCCUCCGUGUCUUUGUAAGAGAUUAAGGAUCCUGAAGGAUUUCGGUCCAAAGGGAAUAAAAAUAAGUAUUUUUUCACUUGUUUUGUUUUUUUACACCAGUAGCGUGGGUCUUGAGGAGUCUGGAAGUCUCCAGUCUGUCUAGCCUACACAAUGAACAAAUGAAAGAGAAGAAAGUACAGGCAGGGGAGAAGGAAGGGGAAAUGGAGUCAAACUCCCAAAGUGCUGUUUGUGAGUAGCAGCAGCAUAAACACGGCAGCACAAUAUACAGCACAGCAGUAAGCAAAGAGGUGAAGUUCAAGAACAGAGUCAGGGUAUGAGAACCGACAGGGGUCAAACUCUGAGUACCCCCAAAGGGCAGAAGACAAAGAACAAAACAAGGAUCCCUAUACCUUCCCCUUCUGAAAGAGAAGCCCUAAGAAGUGGUGUGAGAUGUGGAGUAAGGCAGACCCAGCCUACGGGAAUGGGAAGGACCAGGCAGCAAGCAGAGCCACAGCUCUCCUUUUUAUUCCUCCUGUGUUGGCUGGGCUUGUGCAGAUGGAUUCACGGAGAGGCAAUGCUGAAGGGAAGGAGAUGGAGGCUGGCCACAGGCACCAAGCAGCUCCACACCCACUGGAAGCCAGAGAGAGCCCUUUCUGUGGAUGCUGGCGAGCUUUGGAGCAGAUGUGACAGCAGCUGUGCAAGAACAGUGAUCAAAAAAACACUACAUGGAACCCCAGCAGCACAGAUAAACAAGGACAAAAGGAGACUGAAAAAUGCAUACUUGAAGAACACUGAAUCCCCCACUGGAGAGGAGAGGCACUCAAGCUGUACCAGAUAUGAAAGAAGAGGGAAAAACAUUCUAAACGGGAAAUAAAUUUGAGAUUUUUAAGACAAGGAAUGGAUUUUCUAAGUAGAGAGACAGUUUAUUUCUCAAGCUUCUAGAAAAACAUAGACAAGUGUUGAGACUCACAGGCCCUUCCUCAGACUUCCCACAGAAAUAAGGCAAAAGCUGAAUUACUUGGGUCAUAUAAAGCUUGACUAAACUUAGUUAACACCAUCGGGGUACAUAUGUUUAAAUCACAGUAGCCC